UACGUAGGUGGCAAGCGUUGUCCGGAUUUACUGGGCGUAAAGAGCGCGCAGGCGGUCGUCCAAGUCGCGUGUGAAAGCCCCCGGCUCAACUGGGGAGGGUCACGCGAUACUGGUCGACUCGAAGGCGGGAGAGGGUAGUGGAAUUCCCGGUGUAGUGGUGAAAUGCGUAGAUAUCGGGAGGAACACCAGUGGCGAAGGCGACUACCUGGCCUGUUCUUGACGCUGAGGCGCGAAAGCUAGGGGAGCAAACGGG
rnacentral:rRNA from 1 species